UCUCUUUCUGGCUGCCUUUGGAUCAAGAUAUAGAGCUCUCAGCUCCUCCUCCAACACCAUGUCUGUCUGCACACUGCCAUGCUUCUCACCAUGAUGAAACUGUAAGCCAGUCCCAAUUAAAUGUUUACCUUUAUAAGAGUUGCCUUGGUCAUGGUGUCUCUUCACAGCAAGAGAACCCAACUAUGACAAGUCUUUAUUUAUCUCUUUAACCUAGUGCUAUUCCUGGAGUUUGGGGCAUGGUGAGAACGUUUGCUGCCCGUCAUAUCUCCAUGCCCAUGUGCUCUCUUCUUCACCAUCUGCUCUCUCUGGGUAAGCAAACAGAAAGGCGGAGAAGUUGGAAAGAAAUAAAACAAAAUCAAGUGACAUUGCUUUUCUUAGAAAGAAACAGUUUAAUCUUCGGUUGGCCAGCUUCGUCGGGACACUUCUCCUUCAUGAAUCUGGCAGCUAUCCCAGGCUCUGCCUUGCUGUGUCACUUCUCAGCCUCAAGCAACCAUUUCUAGACAAGGAGUGAUACCUCUGCAUCGAGGACAUAAAAUGGAGACUCCGUCAGAAUGCCACGGAAGCAAGAUGACAGGAGCAUGGAAGACCUGCACCACCGUCACCACCUUGACCUACACACUUCAAUCGCAGCCAUUUAAUCUGGUAAAAACAUUUCAACUCCUAUUUACCACGUACCAGGCACUGUGAUAUUUUAAAAUUAAUUUUUUUUUUCGGAGCUGGGGACCGAACCCAGGGCCUUGCGCUUGCUAGGCAAGCGCUCUACCACUGAGCUAAAUCCCCAACCCUUAAAAAUAAAUUUUUAAAUUUUAUUUUUUUGUUUUUGUUUUGUUUUGUUGGUGCUUGACGCAAAACCCUCCAGAGCAACCCUCAUGCAUCGUCCAGUCUCCCUUGUUUUACAUAUUACUGCACAAUUUGGUAAUGCAAAAGAGACUUUGGCAUUGGGAGGUUUGCUAAGUGGCGGUAAUAGAAAGUCGACUUUAAACAUGCCUACCUCCGUGAUACACACUUUCUCAGAUAUGAUCACACCAGGUCCCCCUCAGUUGACUAAGAACACUUUCAAUCCAGACCUACAGAUUACUAUGGGGGGAUUGGGGUGGGGGUACUGUCCAUUUGCCUCCCCUUUACUUCCCUGUCUGUAGACAUCUAAGUUACCAAACUGGGUUAGAGAGAGGAAAAGGGCUUUUCUUGUUAGCUUAUUAACUCAUUUUGACACAUCACAGGCCGGUUCCUGAUGAUUUGGUAGAACUGAGAGAGCUUAAAAGCAUUUUCUAAAAGCAAACCCAGGGGCUCCACAGCCAAAGAAUUAAACUAUCAGUUU